CCUACGUGUGGCAGCAGUGAGGAAUAUUGGUCAAUGGGCGUAAGCCUGAACCAGCCAAGUCGCGUGCGGGAUGAAGGUUCUAUGGAUCGUAAACCUCUUUUAUAAGGGAAUAAAGUGUGGGACGUGUCCUAUUUUGUAUGUACCUUAUGAAUAAGGAUCGGCUAACUCCGUGCCAGCAGCCGCGGUAAUACGGAGGAUCCGAGCGUUAUCCGGAUUGAUUGGGUUUAACGGGUGCGUAGGCGGCCUUUUAAGUCAGCGGUGAAAGUCUGUGGCUCAACCAUAGAAUUGCCGUUGAAACUGGGGGGCUUGAGUAUGUUUGAGGCAGGCGGAAGGCGUGGUGUAGCGGGGAAAUGCUUAGAUAUCACGCAGAACCCCGAUGGCGAAGGCAGCCUGCCAAGCCAUGACUGACGCUGAUGCACGAAAGCGUGGGGAUCAAACAGGAUUAGAGACCCCGGUAGUC
rnacentral:rRNA from 1 species